UUAGUACUCCCUCCGACCCAUAUUACUUGUCGCUAAAACAUAUGUAUCUAGAAAUGAAAUAUAUCUAGAUACAUCCAUUUCAGCAAUAAGUAAUUUGGAUUGGAGGGAGUACGUC
rfam:Triticum aestivum genome assembly, contig: Triticum_aestivum_CS42_TGACv1_scaffold_250303_3DL